AAUAGUUCGGGAACCAUCUCAAACCCCACGACUUCCACCGCUGACGACAAUGACAAAGAGAUCGAUCGAAGCAGAAUCGAAACUCGCAUUUCAGAGAAUUCGAGGAAGAGAUUGAAAGUGAAAUUAACGGGUGUGUUUUUUAUCAGUUUUUCCUCUCUUUAUUUGGUAUCUUCUUUUUUUGAUUUCAUAUUUUAAAACCUGCAUGGCGUUUAAUUAUUUACGACAAGUGGCCUAUCCAAAAAUUUCCGACAGACUGGGUGAAAUUCGUCCGAAUAAAAAACACAUUCAUUAAUUAAUAUUUAAAAUAUAAAUAAACACAUUUAUAAAUAUCAACAUAAAUAAUAUACAUAAACAUAAAUAAAUAUAAUAAAUCAAUCCUAAUUUAACUUCACUUCAUGCAUUUCAUUUAAUUUAACCAUAGACAUAUAUAAAUCCGAUAAACUUCAUUUCAUUUUUUUCAUUUAAUUUAACCAUAUUAUUUUAUCAACAUACAUAAAUCAACCAUAAACUUAACCCUAAUUAAAACAGUAAAUCAACCAAAAAAUAACUAAUUUCAAAACCUAACAUCUAACCUUAAAAUAAAACCCCCCAAAUACUAAAUACAUAAACCCCUAAUUAAAUCAAACACCCAUAAAAUCAAAUGAAGAACAAAAGAAAAAGAUAAAAUGUAAAUUAAAUGAAGAAGAUUAAAUGAAGAAGAAGAGAUGAAAAAGAAGAGAUGAAAAAUAAGAGAGCAAGAAGAAGAAGAGGAAGAGGAAGAUGAAGAAGAGUAAAAUACCUUGGAAAGAUGACCGGAGGUGUUCAAAUCAUCGGAGGCAAGUUCGGGAGGAGUGGGGAGAAGUUGGGGAAAUGAAAAAAAUCUGAAAGUUUUUGUAUAUAUAUAAAAAAAUCUGAAAGGAAAUAGUUAAGUUAUGGUUGACUGGGGAUGAUUGUACGGGGAACCACGGCGGCGCAAGUAAGAAAUUUUUAGGGUUUCCUGAAAUUCCUUGCGGCCUGGCCGCCAGUUCAUUUCUUCCCGAUCGUUGAGUGAAUAAAGGAUCCUGGCCAACUCAUUUCUCUCAUUUACGAGGGAAAAUUAUGUCGACAGACUAGUGUAACCUGCCGGCGGCCCUGUCUCUGGUCCUAUCUACUGGCGGCCAGAAUUACGCUGUGCAAGGUCGUUUGAUAAUACACUAUUAAAAUUACCCCUACCCGGUUAGUCGAUUACGUGAAGUGUAGAUUCCUUCUGAAUAUUAUAAUCGGCAAAGGUACGACCAUCCUCAAGUUGCUUCCCGGCAAAGAUCAACCUUUGGUGGUCAGGAGGGACCUGGCCUGUUUUUCUAUUUGUUUUUAUGAAGUAAAAUUUCAUUAUUUGAAAUGAUGCUGUCUUUGCCCAGUAUUACAUACAAUAUAUACAAUAAAGAAUAAAGAUCGAACAAAUAGUAGCGAAAACAAAAUUAUGAGCCAAGACAAGGAGGAAAUCCCACCUUACCAGCAGAGGUUGAUAUAUCUUUGCUGGAAAGCAGCUUGAAGAUGGCGCACCCUUGUGGAUUAUAAUAUUCAGAAGGAAUCUACACUUGAUCACUUAGUACUACGUCUCCGUAGAGGUUUAUGAAGUUCACUACAAGAAAACAGGGAAACAAUCACGGUCAAGAUCACUGGCUAAAUGGCAAAAUCCGUGGCUAAAAAUCCGUGGUUAACGAGAAUUAGCCACGGGAGGCGCCGUGGCUGUAGGUCUGGUGGCUACUGAUUUUUUACCACGGAAAUGGUUUUCCGUGGUUAUUUUCCAAGUGAUUAAUUUUGUUGCUAAUCUGUUAUACUAACUAGUUAAGUAAUACUUUUGUAUUAUAUAUUUAUUUUCACACGACCAUUGCAAUCCCCAUGCAGGCGAACCUCUAACCCAGCCCUCAAUAUCGUUCAUUAUCUCUGCUAUCUUCGCCCGGUCCAUGAUUUGCUGAUGAAUUGGAAAGCACAUCUCCUUCUCCAGAUUUCAUGACUAAAGGCACACUGGGAAAACAAAUGAGCAGCAGUUUCUAGAGCUUUCUUCCCCCAUCUUCUGAUCCUCAAAAAAGAGUGAAGUCCCUUACUUUGUGAGACUGAAAGACUGAAAUGCUCACCAACAAAUGGUGAAAUCGAC
rnacentral:lncRNA from 1 species